AACUUUAUAUACCUACCUGAAACAAAUCUGCAAAUUAACAAAUUUAUUCAUCAAAAAAAUUUUCUUUUGAGAUGACAAAAACACCAACAUUUUUGAAGUUGUAAAUAACUUAGUUCUACUCUCUUGAGUUUAUUUGCAUAUUUUAUUUAGAAAUAUCGUUUAAAAUUUAAGAUAGAUAAACUAAAGAAAAAUUAAAAAAAAAGUAUUCAAAAUAUGACAUUUUUCAAAAUUUAACUUGUUUUUUGUAAAUUUUCAUGCAAUUUGUACUAGAAUUGGAAUUUGUCUCGAGUUCAUUUUUUUUAAUGGCUAUAACUAGUAGAUAUAUCGUAUUAAAAAAAAAAUAUUCUAUAAAAACGAUCCUAUUCUUUAAUUGUUUUUAAAAUAGUUUCAAUUAAUUGGAUGAAUCUAUUCCUUUUUAGUUGCACUUUUUUUCAAUGAAAUGUACCCAAUUCAAGGCCUUAUGUACCCAGCACGUGAACAACAUUAUUUGAAUAUUUCUAAAAAAAAAAAAUCAUCUCCCAUCAUAAUGUACAAAUCUCUAUCUCGUGACUUGCGUGAUAUAAUUUCAUUCAUAUUUUCUUAUCAACAAAAAUAUUUCCUCAUUUUUUUUUUGUUUUUAAACUAAAAAAAAUCCAGAAAAAACUAAAAUAACUGAACUUUUUACCUUGAAAUUCAAUCAAAAUUAAACACAAUACGACAUAGAGGACGUCGACAUCGUUCGACAAUUGGGCGUAAACAAGUCGAGUACACCAAAUAAAUAAGCUUUUUUUUUUUCUAAACUACUUACUCAUAUACAAAAGUUCAUUUCCGGCAGGCAUAGUUUCUACGUGCAGUGUGUUUGCUUUUGUCAGUUUAAGUAUUUCUGUCUUUUCUAAAUAACAAAACAAUAAAAAUUCAUCCCAAACAUAAUUAAAAAAAAACAAUAAUAACAAGCAAAAAAACACAGACUCAACUGACCCCCCCCUCAUAAAUGUUCCUAAUAAAUUCUACAAGUGGGUACAAAUUCUCUCGUUCUUUAUAAAAAUCAUCUUAAACUAAGAUAUGUGACACGGGGGUGGGGAAUGAUUUGUUGUAGGUAUUUGAAAACAUUCCCGACCCAAUCCCAGUCGUUUAAAUUUUUCAAGUCUUCAUCUUCAAAAAAAAAAAAAAAUAAUAAUAAAAAAAAAUUAAGCCAACUAUUAACGAUAACGAAAAACAAAAACUAAAAUAGCCCCACAAUGUAGAAUGUGACAUUAGUCGAAAGUCGCUAGCAAAAGCGAGAGCACGCAUCGGAAAAAAUAGGUCAAGCUCUGGUUUUCCAUUUCAAAACGACGAAUAAAAAAAAAAACUACAUACGUAUUUAUCAUCCCCAUCAAAUACAAUGAAAAAAUAUUUCGAAUUAAGAGGAAUUGUGCUUGCGAUUGUGUUUGGUCUGGCAAUGCUGCAGUUGUCAUUUGCAGCUCCAUCAGCCUUUACCUCCGAGAUAACUUGUCACAACUACAUCAGUUAUCACAUUGAGACUAUUUGUAAACACGGUGUCAAUUCAAUACCUGCUGGAACCCAAUUUGGAGUGGUCUCUGAGAGUAAUGGGGUUAGAUAUUUAAAUACUGAUCCUUUCAGUGAUAGCUAUAUUACAAGUUGCUGUUAUAAAAAGUGCACCAUUCCACAAUUUAAACAAUAUUGCAAGCCAGAUCCUAAGGAAUAAAUCGACUAUAAGUUUUCAACUUCAAAAAAAAAAAAAAACAACGAUAUACUAAAAAGCCAAAGAAACUUCGAAUAUCACAA